UACGUAGGUGACAAGCGUUGUCCGGAUUUACUGGGCGUAAAGAGCGCGCAGGCGGUCGUUCAAGUCGAGGGUGAAAGCCCCCGGCUCAACUGGGGAGGGUCCCGCGAUACUGGUCGACUCGAAGGCAGGAGAGGGUAGUGGAAUUCCCGGUGUAGUGGUGAAAUGCGUAGAUAUCGGGAGGAACACCAGUGGCGAAGGCGACUACCUGGCCUGUUCUUGACGCUGAGGCGCGAAAGCUAGGGGAGCAAACGGG
rnacentral:rRNA from 1 species